rnacentral:lncRNA from 1 species
CUCGUUGGCGGUGGCACACCAGAGCGCACAAAGGCUGCCUCGACGUCGGCAUAGGUGGCAAAGGUCUGCGGGCCGCCGUACUGCGCGGGGCGCGGCACCACAAAGGGCAGGCCGGCCGGUUCCAGCCAGCGCCACAGCACAAAGCGCAAGAUGGCCAAGAGGCCGUUGCCCUCUGCGCGGCCGUCCACUGAAUAGGCCCGACGGAUCUUGGCGCGAAUGGCCUCGUCGGAAUCAUCGAGGUCGAUCUUGGAGGCGGCCUCGCUGGCGCUCAUCUUGCCGUCCUUGGUGAGACCCGGCACCAGCGGGUUGAGCAGGUGAAAGCGCUUGCGGUAGCCGAGCGCGGGCAGGUGGUCGCGCGCAAAGGCAAAUAUCUUGCGUUGGUCGCGUCCGCCGAAUUGGGCGUCGACGUCGAGGUGCUGCUCGUCGAGCGCCUGCAUGAGCGGGUAGACCACAUUGCUCAACAACGGGUUGCGCUCCAUCUUGACCACCUGCGCGGCGGCCUUUUGCGCCGCGCCGGCGCUGACGCGCGCCGUCAGGCGGUAGAGGUCGAGCGUGUAGGCGGCGCCACAUUGGUACUCGGUGCCGCGCACAAACUCCAAACGAUCGAGCGGCACGCCGAUAUGCUGGAGCAUGGCCUUGAUGGCGAAUUCGUACCAUUGGCACCGGUGCUCGACGAGUUCCCACGGCGUCUUGCCGUUGUCGAGAUGGGCGUGCACGUUGGCAAAGAGGAUCUUGACGCGACAUCCGGCCUGCGGAAAUCGGCCAGCUUAAAGAUGGGCACAAAGUAGGCCAGGUGCGGUUUGCCCGUCGGCGCCGUGCCCCAGUAGAUGACCAACGGCCGUUCGGCCAUAAUGGCCUUGAUUUCGGCCGACUCGCCAAUCACCUCUUCGAGGUCUCUCGACAUCAACUCAUAGCGGUAAUCGACGUCGUUGUCGUCGCGCAAACUACUGGCGGCACCGUGCGACAGUUCCGCGGUAGUGUUGGCGGUCGGCGUGGGCGACUCCAACAAGACCUCGCGGUGGCGGUUCUUUUGGUCAUGCAGGGUUUGCUCGUGUGCGCCAUCCAUGUUUUUUGGAGAAGAAAAAGAAGUCUCCUCUUCUUUUGUUGCCAGUGUCCUUGUUGCCGAGUGUUUGCGCCGCGGAUCGGUUCUUGCCGCCGGGAUCGGCGCAGGCGCGGUGGUGUUUGGAGGAAAAAAAAGAGGACCAGUGGC